rnacentral:rRNA from 1 species
CAGUCGCCGCGGGAAUACGAGGGGUGCAAGCGUUAUUCGGAUUGAUUGGGUGUAAAGGGCGCGUAGGCGGACUGAUAAGUCAGGGGUGAAAUCCCAAGGCUCAACCUUGGAACUGCCUUUGAUACUGUUUGUCUUGAGUUCGAGAGAGGUAAGUGGAACUGCGAGUGUAGAGGUGAAAUUCGUAGAUAUUCGCAAGAACACCAGUGGCGAAGGCGGCUUACUGGCUCGAAACUGACGCUGAGGCGCGAAAGCGUGGGGAGCAAACAGGAUUAGAUACCCGAGUAGUCCCUGUCUCUUAUAC